rnacentral:tRNA from 1 species
GGAGAAAAUAAUUUUCGCUUACAAUGAAGAGUACCUUAGGGCUCCUUUAUAAUGUAAAUUUAAGAAAGUA